rnacentral:misc_RNA from 1 species
GGAAGUAAAAGAGUCGUAACAAGGUUUCCGUAGGUGAACCUGCGGAAGGAUCAUUAUUGUAUAACCGAGGUGCGAGGGCUGUCGCUGACCCGAAGGGUCGUGCACGCCCGAGUGCCCUCACACACAUCCAUCUCACCCCUAUGUGCACCACCGCGUGGGUCCCCCUUUGGCUUGUUCGGAGGGGGGCUUACGUUUUCACACAAACUUUGUAUGCAGUGUAGAAUGUAUUUUUUGUUUUUGCGAUCACGCAAUCAAUACAACUUUCAACAACGGAUCUCUUGGCUCUC